UUUCCGUAGGUGAACCUGCGGAGGGAUCAUUCACUAUAAGUGUUUUAUGGCACUUUGUAAACCAUCCACUUCCACCUAGUGUGCAAAGAUAUGAGAUCCUCUAUCGUUAUCUUUUAUGCUACGGAAGGGGGAACCGCUACAACUUACCAACAUUACCUUUAACUUAUUUGUCAGAACGUUUGUUAUCACGAAUUAACUUAAUUCGAAAAAACAACUUUCAACAACGGAUCUCUUGGCUCUC
rnacentral:misc_RNA from 1 species